rnacentral:tRNA from 1 species
AAGGGUGUGAUGGCUCAGUGGCAGAACACCAGUUUUGCAUGCAGCAGGUCUCAGGUUCGAUCCCUGGCAUCUUCC